UACGGAGGGUGCAAGCGUUAUCCGGAAUCACUGGGUUUAAAGGGUGCGUAGGCGGAUUAUUAAGUCAGUGGUGAAAGCCGGUCGCUCAACGAUCGAACUGCCAUUGAUACUGAUAGUCUUGAAUUGGGUUGAGGUUAGCGGAAUGUGACAUGUAGCGGUGAAAUGCGUAGAUAUGUCAUGGAACACCAAUUGCGAAGGCAGCUAACUAGGCCUUGAUUGACGCUGAGGCACGAAAGCGUGGGUAGCGAACAGG
rnacentral:rRNA from 1 species